AGACAUGAACAGUCCUCAGCUUUCUGCAUUCUGGAUAACUGGCUAUGAUCACACAUCAGAGUCUACUGUCCUCAUGCGAUGGAAAGUGAGUGAGAGCAGCGAGCCUGUGAGCAUUGUUCAUGCCAGGCAACAGCCGUCAAUGUGGGGGUCGAGCAGACGCCACUUUUGCAGAGGAAUCGUCCAGGAGCCCCAGCCGGAU